rnacentral:piRNA from 1 species
UGACUAUUCAUGGACAGAAGUUUCUGCAGGC